CCUGGCGGACAUAGCGCUGUGGUACCACCCGAUCCCAUCCCGAACUCGGAAGUGAAACGCAG
rnacentral:rRNA from 1 species